GUGAAUCAUCGAAUCUUUGAACGCAAAUUGCACUCUCCGGUUUUCCGGGAGAGUAUGCCUGUUUGCGGGCCAGACUAAAAAAAAUCGCCAUCGUUGCUGUUUCGCGGUGUCUUUCGUCGGAAGUUGGGUCAUCUUAAUUCCUUUUGAUUUAAGCGAUUUAAAAUUUUCUUUUGGUUCCAUGAACGUUUCUAAGAUCUAUUUCUUUACUCGUUUAAGGUAUCGAUUUUUACUAGGCGUGACCAUCAUAACGGAUCGCGUCC
rnacentral:misc_RNA from 1 species